rnacentral:rRNA from 1 species
CGGACGGGUGAGUAACGCGUGAGUAACCUGCCUUACACAAGGGGAUAGCCGUUGGAAACGACGAAUAAUACCCUAUGACAUAAACUCUUCGCAUGAAGAGCUUAUCAAAGAUUUAUCGGUGUAAGAUGGACUCGCGUCUGAUUAGCUAGUUGGUGAGGUAACGGCCCACCAAGGCAACGAUCAGUAGCCGGCUUGAGAGAGUGUACGGCCACAUUGGGACUGAGACACGGCCCAGACUCCUACGGGAGGCAGCAGCG